GACCCUGCUUUUUGAUAUACCCCACUUAAGAGAAAGUUAGAUGAAUUAGCUCCGUCAUGUGACUAACUGCAUCUUUUAAUCAGACCCCAAUCAACUGGUGCUAUCAUGACUUGCCAUCUACUUAGUAGAACGUUUGAAGAAGAUUCGUCUCUCAGUGGUAUGGCCAAAGCACUCCCACCCACACAGCCUAGGAUUGGAGCAGGAUGGAGUACGAUGUGUGUUCUCACUCGAACCGAAGACAGGCAGACAGACAUGCUCCUGUUGUGCCUGGUCUGUUCAGUCCGGUCAUAACUAUUCUAGAGUCCCAAUAAUGACCUUCAAAUAACCUAACGUUGCCAGUGACGGGGCCUCUUACAGAAUCACAAAUAGCCUACGUGUCUCGAGAAACUCUUCAGGGUCUCUACUAUCUACACAACAAAGGGAAAAUGCACAGAGACAUAAAGGGAGCAAACAUACUGUUGACAGACAACGGGUACGUCAAACUAGGUAAGGAGUCCAGACGUCCAACUGUUUUCUUUGAUGUGUGUGUUUCAAUAUGAUGAAUAAUGGCAAUUUGGUGAGUGUGUAAUCGCCACCUGGCGAUGAUUGACAAGCUGUUAAUUGCGCUUGGCUGUGAAUAGCACCUUCUGCUUUCACGU